UCUUCGAUGGUCUAGUGGUCAUGAUUUCCGCUUGUCACUGUUCACUAUUGAACUUAACAAGCGCGGGAGGUAUGUUUACGAUCUGGACUCAGCAUAAUGAGCGAUUCACUAACUUAUCACAGACCGGGGUUCGAUUCCCCGUCGGAGAG